rnacentral:sRNA from 2 species
CUGCUUGAAGAGUACAAAGGGUCCAUUGUCUGAUGCGAGAAGCCCUUCUUCCGGUUUACAAUGCGACUCCUCUGAGUCUCGAUAUUACUCAGAUGGAGUCGCGGAGCUUGAUGUUCUAUUCUAUUUUGAAUUCCGCCCUUGGCCCAAACCCAGUGAUGGCCAUAUUUCCCUAUCCAAACGUUUGGAAUGGUUAAAGGUACCGUAGAGACACGGAGUUGACUCUCUACAUCCAUCUUCCAACCUAGCUCUAAAAUUGAGGAGAAGCAAUUCCAAACACUGAGGAUCGUAUGGAAGGCGAGCGAGACAAAUAGAUGUUGGCGAAUAGAUGUUGCCGGUGCUUGAAGGCUGCUGAAAUAAAUCACCGCACAGGGUAACAUAAAGGGAGCCGCAGCAACUUGGACACAAAAACCAUAAACAAAUAACUUGACCCAGUCCACUCCACCCACUCCAUUUGCUCUCGUGCAUACUUUCAGGAACGAAUUCUAAAUCUGAAUGCAUCUUCACCGCGAGAUUUUGGCUGCGAAGUUGUGACUUUUCCUUGCCACGCCAAGCCAG